rnacentral:rRNA from 1 species
UACGUAGGCAGCGAGCGUUGUUCGGAGUUACUGGGCGUAAAGGGUGUGUAGGCGGUUUUCUAAGUUUGGUGUGAAAUCUCCCGGCUCAACCGGGGGGGUGCGCCGAAAACUGGGAGACUAGAGUGCGGGAGGGGAGAGUAGAAUUCCUGGUGUAGCGGUGAAAUGCGUAGAUAUCAGGAGGAAUACCGGUGGUGUAGACGGAUCUCUGGACCGCCACUGACGCUGAGACACGAAAGCGUGGGUAGCAAACAGG